rnacentral:rRNA from 1 species
GGUGAGUAAUGUCUGGGAAACUGCCUGAUGGAGGGGGAUAACUACUGGAAACGGUAGCUAAUACCGCAUAACGUCGCAAGACCAAAGAGGGGGACCUUCGGGCCUCUUGCCAUCGGAUGUGCCCAGAUGGGAUUAGCUAGUAGGUGGGGUAACGGCUCACCUAGGCGACGAUCCCUAGCUGGUCUGAGAGGAUGACCAGCCACACUGGAACUGAGACACGGUCCAGACUCCUACGGGAGGCAGCAGUGGGGAAUAUUGCACAAUGGGCGCAAGCCUGAUGCAGCCAUGCCGCGUGUAUGAAGAAGGCCUUCGGGUUGUAAAGUACUUUCAGCGGGGAGGAAGGGAGUAAAGUUAAUACCUUUGCUCAUUGACGUUACCCGCAGAAGAAGCACCGGCUAACUCCGUGCCAGCAGCCGCGGUAAUACGGAGGGUGCAAGCGU